GGCAAUACAAGACAAAGACAUGACUAAGUAAGUUUGGUCUUGGUGUACUUGCAAUAUUUUAUGUUUAUGUUAUAUAAUAUGUAGCUCAUUGUAUAAACUUCACGGUCUUUAAAAAAGAGGUAAAUGAGCUUUAUAGUCAUUUAAUUAUCUGUUCUGAAUGCUUUUAUUAAAAAUUUGAACAACGACCAUGCUAGUUCUUCAUAUUUUUAAGCAAUUACAUGAUAGUCCAGGUUCCAAGAUGAAUUCAUGAGGUAAAAAUUCACCUACUUGAUGACGUUCUUAAUGCCAGUGCUAUUUAUGUUGGUUGUGACCAUGUAAUAACAACUGCUAGGAUAGUUUUAUAUGCUUUCUAGUGACGAGGAACGGAAAUAAAGAAUUAAUUUAUAUGUUUUGAAUAAGUUUAUAUUGUAUUUAGUUAGUGUAAAGAUACAUGAUGUAUUUAUCUCUGUGUUUAAUAGGUGGGGUUAGGAGUUUAUUAAAUAAGUAGUUUAUUUAUAACAAGGCCCAAUUGUUCAUGGGUCUUAGUCUAUUAGGUUUAAUACUAAGGUUUUAUAGUCUAUAUAAGUGAUGUAAUCCCCCACAUUUUUAUUAACCUUUGAUUAUACAUUUUUCUUGGGAUUAAUAUUGAUUAUUUAUUUUCAUAAUCGUAUAAUUCAUUGCUUAUAAUCUUAUUACCGUUUUUGUUUAAUACUUCAUUGUUUCAUCAAAUUGCUGGAUUUUCACACCGCUGCCAUCUCUCUACCACCCCGCCUCUUCCCAACUUCAAACUAUCAAAUCCCACCAGAAAAGCCACUAGAGCAUGGUCAUAAUAAACCAAUCAUAACCCUAAAUCCCCAAAUUUUGAACCCUUAUCACAUACCCAAUCCGAUGCGAAUACAAACCCUAAUGCCCAAAUCAGAAAUCCUAAUUGCAUAUCAAUCCAGCACCACAAAUUGCAAAUCAUCACAACUGGUUGGAGUUUAAUCAUCAACAAGAUGAGAAGACACAGAUUGGGGAAGUGAAGAACAAAAUUAUAUUGGCUGACCUUUCAACUGGAGCUUCAUUAUUAGUUUCUGUUUUGCGAGGCUAGUACUAGACAUAUUUUUCGUGUAUGUAUAUCUUCUGAUUAUGUGUUUAUACCCUAAUAACUCAUAUGUAUUAGAUGCCCAGUAAUUUGACAGCCCAAUCAUUACCACAAAACCCAUCCCAUCAAAACUCCAACGUUUUGUCACCUGGAAACCCACUGCUAUAUACAUUAUUCAUAAACUGCAGUUUAGUACUCCGAGAGUUUACAUAAAGAUUAAUCCAUUCCGUGAAGUUGUGGAAACUGCAUAACAGCCCCUGAACUUUGCAGAAUAUUAGGAUCAGCCCCUAAACUUCAAAAUGCUUAUUGCUCAUCCCCUAAACUUUAGAGAAUUUGCAUUUGUUUUAUGUUUUAAGACAUGUGGCAUACAUCAAACAGCAAAUUAAAAAUUGUGGAAGAUAAUAUAUAUUGUCUUGAUCAUGAACAUGAUGAGUUCUAUUACGAAGUCUAUGUUUGUCAUCGUGACCGUUGGUUACUUCGAUAUAAACUUAUGGUGAAGGAGUUAAAUAAUCAAUAUAAUAAACUUAAAAGAGUGGAAAAGAGGUACGAAAUUGGGUUGAGCAAAGAAAGGUGCAAAUUUGCAGACGAAAGUUACGAACGUGCAAAGGUGCAACGACAUAGGCCUCUUUAGACUCUCACAUCUCAGGUUAAACAUCUUGUACAUUUGGAAAAUGAGAAAAUAAUCGAAGGGGAAAUAGAAGUUGAGUACGUUGAAGAUACAUAUAUGGAUAAGCCAUUGAAUGAGGAUGAUGUGAUCGUGUCAAAUUCUUUGAGUUGCAUGGAAAAUGUUAAUGAAGAUGUUUCUGAUGCAAAAUCUCAUGUGGAGCAAUUUUCAGUUCAAGUCUUCAAGAAAAGGUGGUUUAUGAUAUUAUUGAGGUUGAGCACAUCGACUUCAUUAUUUUUUGAGUACUUGCCUAAGCUACCUUCGCUUGCUUGCAAUUUUCAGAGUUCUUUGCACCUCACCCGUUUUUCUAGAAGAACAGCAUGAAGUUCAUCUUGGUUCCAUAUCAUCCUUGUGUGAUUUUUGACUUUUACAAAAUUUAUGGCCAAGUUUUCUCCAACAAAGGGAGAAUGAUGAUGAACUAAAAUAAAGAAUUAAUUUAUAUGUUAUUAAUUAGUUUAUAUUUAGUUAGUGUAAGAUACAUGAUGUAUUUAGCUAUAUGUUUAAUAUGUGGGGUUAUGAGUUUAUUAAAUAAGUAGUUUAUUUAUAAUAAAGCCCAAUUGUUUAUGGGCCUUAGUCCAUUAGGUUUAAUACUAGGGUUUUUAUAGUUUAUAUAAGUGAUGUAAUCCCCCACAUUAUUACUAAGCUUUGAUUAAACAUUUUUCUUGAGGAUAAUAUUGAUUAUUUAUUAUUGGGAAUCGUAUCAUUCAUUGUUUAUUAUCGUACAACUAUUUUUGUUUAAUGCAUCAUUGUUUUUACAAUCUUGUCCUGCAUCAUCUAGUUGACUCUCAAACCUCGUCUUCUGGAUUUCUUGUAUCUAGUGGAGCUUCAAGCUGACAAGCUCCUGAUGAAUUUUACCAUGCUCUAAAUUAGAGGUGUGGUCAUGUGUUUAAUGGAGGCCUGGUUCACCACUCUGUAUUAUGUAACAUCAAGGUACAGUACUUUUCCUUACUUUUAGCUCUAUAGAUUUUACGGCCAAUUAGGAGAUUCUACACCUGCUACACAGAAAGGCCUUUUGCAUUGAAGAUUCAUUAAGACUAAUAUAUAACAAUGCAGUUACAUAGCGGUCUAUAUGAUCUAUAUGAUUUUGGGUGUCAGGAUGUUUAAAUGAAGUAUUUGCAUAUUUUUAUUUAAUUAUUUUAAAGAUUCUAAAAUAAAGUCAAGAAGUUAGUCAUAUGAUUCAGGAUCCCAGGGUUUAAGAUUUUCUUUAGGGCUUUCAGGUUUUAAGAUUUGAAAAUUAUAUAUAUUAUGGCGAAACAGUGUCAAGAUUACCGAGUUUUUAAUCUAACAAAACAAAAUUACCAAAUCUCGGCUGGAUUGAUGAUUUUUAACAUUUUCAUUACCCAGACAUCAUAUGCAUAUUACAUACUCGAUACCCCACAGCAAAUGCAUCGUUUUAACCAGGCCUGGAAUUUUUUUACCUGAUCCAUUGCACAUCCACCCGUACAUAUAUUGAUUCUCAGGAUGUGCUCCACUCCACUCCAAUCCUUACUGCACUGGUAUAACCUUCAUAGGUGCGAGUGAAGUAUCAAGUUCGAAUUGGGGUAAAAGUGAUAGGGCUAUAGUUUUGGAAUGUGUAUGUAUAAAUGUGGAUAUCCCAACCAUUUAUGCAUAUCCAGCAAUAUCCAAGAUCCAAUUGCGUCUCUUUAUGAAGAAAUAAAGUAAUACCCAGAAUCAGUAUGCGUAUUAUGGUAUUGUAGUGUAUGAUUCCCCAUCUGAAAAUGCGUAUUAUUAGUUACCCUAACAUGGAAUUCGUAUUCAAUCUUAAAUUUUAACCAUCAAUCCCAACAAUCGUUAUUCUUAUGAUAAUUAUAUAGAAAUUGUUAUAUAUCUCCUUCACCCUAUUAUGGCUUCAAAACUUAGUAUUUAUAGAUUUAGGGAUUCCUGUUUAGGUUUAGGCAUUUUAGGUUUAGAGUUUAAGAUUUAAGUUUACAAUGUGUCAAAAUAAAAUCUUAUUAUUUUUUAAUAUUAUGCAUCUUAUUUUAAAAAUUCUAAAAGAGAUGCCACAAAUCUUAUAUGAAAUUUCAGAGUCUAACAGAUUGCAUAAGUUUUGGGCAAAAUUGGUCACUUUAUAAACCUAUGCAAUAUGCACAAUCCGACUAUCAUUUCUAAGUCAUUGAAGUUUUUGAGGCGGGAGACUAUUUACUUUUGGAAGAAAGCGGUGAACAUUUUAGUAGAACGUGAUGAUGUGCCAAUAUAAAAAUGUUUUUAAGCUUGUAGGCAGAUAUUAAAAUGCUUUUUAAUUGUUUGUGAUCUUUAUGCUCAUGAUUGCGGUCCAAAAUGUGAAUUAUUCAUCUCUGUGACAUUUAUUCAUCUUUAUGCACUUUUUUUUUUUUUAAGAUGAUGGCGAUGUUCAACAUUGAGUUUUUAUUAUGACCAAGUUGCUAGGAUUGUGUUCUAAUGCAGAAUUUUAUUUUCUUUUUGUUUUUGCCCCCACCAUUUACACGCUGAGUUAUGUGCUAAUAUUCUGGUCACAAGAAUUGUAGAGUUCUGGAAGAGGGGCUGUGGAGGAGCACCACCUAGUUCAAGCUUUUUUCAUAUUUUAUAUGUAGGUUGUAAUAUCUGACAAUAUGGAACCAUUUAACACAUUUAUUUGAGUUCUAUUGUCAAUUGUCAUCUUGAGAUAACAAAUCACUACGUCAUAUUUGGCAUUGCAAGCCCCAAAUGGUUAAUGUUGCAUAAAGUGUUGUUAUAGACUAAAAAUUUUCAAAUCUACUGUAACAGUUUAUAAUAUGUUGCAACAGACAAAAAAAUAUUGCACCGAUUACAAACAUUUUUUGAGAAAUUACAGAAUCAUUGGCAAUUGCAAUACUUUGAGAAAAAUGUUGCAAGAGAGUUUACGCUUUGCUGAACUUGACCGAAUUAUAUAUUUAAGCGAGGAUUUUGAUUUUUCAUUUGGCGGGUUCUUUCUAGUACCAAUUUUUUUUCUAAAACCAAAACUCCCUUUUUCCUUUCAUUUCAUCAUUUCAAUCGUGUCUCUCUCUCAGGUUUCUCUCUUGUUUUACUUAUCUCUCUCUAAUCACUCUUGUUUUGUUUAUCUAUCCCAAGCAUCUAAUCUCAUUUUGAAUCGAAUCCACUCCACUCCACUCCAUUGCUCACACUCCCAUCCAUUGCUCACAAUCCACUUCACUGAAUUGAAUUACUCUGGUUAGGGCUCUCUGUCUGUCUCUCUGAAAUUGGAGUAAUACCGCUUACAGUUAUAUAAAGUUUUGAAUGCUAAUGAGUAUAUACGCAAGGAACUCCGAAACUAAGAAAUAUUGCUUCCCCGGGAGAUGGGGAUGCACAAGGAAAACAACAGCGAAAGCCCCACCGAUUUAAGCCUAGUACUGUGGCUCUUUGUGAGAUUCAUAAGUUUCAAAAGACUUGGAACCUUCUCAUUCCUGCCACUCUGUUUAUCCACACUGUUUCUCUUGAUUUUGUUCGUCUUUACACCAAUGGGGCCCUUGUUGGAGUGAAGCUCUUGUCUUCUGCAAUGAAUAGGGACUAACAUUCAAAUGCUCCGGGAAUAGUGUCUCUGUCUUCUACUCAUGGAGAAGCUGCAGGUAGUUAUGAGAUACAGGGUUAUGUCCAUGGAGUGGAGAUCUUGUCACAGACGUAGCCUCUGAAGAAUCAUUACCUAAAGGAUUUGGGAGAUUUGGAAUUGGUUGCAAAAUCCAGCUGCUCAUCGCAGUCUUUGAUGCGUAAACCUGAGGCAUUAACAUUCACUAAGGUCUUUAAUACAUUUCAGCUCAUUGCCAAGGUGAUCCAGUCUGACUUUUGCUAUUUGAUUUAAUGCUGAGCUAUACUGACAUUGCAGUUAUUAUUACAUAAAAGAAGUAAUUUGGGAAUGGAGUUGAAAUAGAUUAACAUAAUAACAUUCUCAGUCAAACAAAUAUUGCUUGUAUUUAAGGAGUGGAGCACUAAUAGUGUUGUCAGCAUGUCUACCUGUUCCAGGCUUAGUGUCAUGUAAUCUUAAGAGUCGGGAUCUUCGAUUGACCAAGCCACUCGUUACUGACCCUUGUUCUGUAGACACUGGGUCUAUAGAGAGUUUGCUCAUGCUUGAGGGGCGAGAUGAACUGUUGAACUCAUAAAUCUCUCAGUAGUAAGCAGGAGAGGCAUAUGGGUAUUGGCUAUGCUGGAUUACUGAUGUCGAGCAUUUCUUGGACAAUUUUCUCAAUUUCCAAGCGUCAGAAAUAUGGGAAUUUGUAGGGGUCAUGUGUGCAUGCCUGCUUCCCUCCAUUAUAUGGGUAAAAGGUGAUCUUCCUUAGUAAGCAGGUCAGGAUUUAGGGGCUUGGAAACUUUCUUGUACGCAUCGAUCACCUGCCGAACAGAAGAGGGAACAUGAUGAGAGAGUUGUUGAGCCUCUACUGCUGCUAAUUGCACCAGGAAACAGACUUGUUCCUUUUGUGGCUUGAUGAGUUCUUAUCUAUGACUACUUGAAAGUCAGGAGAAGUGCAGCUGGCUUGUCGCAAUUGCAGCUUGUCACCCUGCCAAUGAAUUGAUCACUCAUGUUUCUUGAAGUCUGAUGCUAACUGGGUUUACUUGAGUCAACCAUUGGAUACCAGGUACAGCUUCAAAACUCCCAACGUAAUCACGUAGAAGGUGGAGUUAAAGGUCGUAGUUUAAGUUCUCCAAGUUAACUCCACAUUGAGUGUUGGUGCCAUUCGCUAGCUGUCUUGUGAUUUGAGUUGAGCUGUUUGACAAAGGACUGAGAGAGAAAAUUGUGAGUAGACUGGUAUCAUGAAGGAGUUGAAUACUCUUUGUUUUGAACCUUCUUCUUUGAAUCAACGAAAGCCUUGCGUUCCAUUAAGAGCAUGAAGAGAAACUUGUUAAUCUUCUGGUUCUUAUGCAGGAGUGAGCUGCUCCUGUUUUGUUUCGGCUUUGGCUCGUUGUCUUCUUCCUGAUCUCCCACCACGAGAUAACAUUGGGGUCGGGUACACUUGUGCCCCGGGAAGUAAACCUUGUGACAGUUAUAAGAUGGACGUCGAGCUACGCUAGUGCUAGGCCCAGUAUUCUUAUGAUUAUCUUUGUAUGUGUUGCCUUUAUUCGUAUUAUAACCGACAUUACUCGUACCCCUCAGGCUCCUACCAUGGUAAGGUGCUGAGGAUUGACGUUUGACUGUUCCUUUAAUGCAAUUCUCAAUCAUCUUGACAAAGAGCUUUGGUUCCCCGGACAACGGCUUCCUACAGGGAACACCUGUAGAUGUAUAACGCUAGCUGGAUGUUGGACAACCUGCUAAAAAAACUGGAGAGGUGGAACUUAUCAAUUGAUUGUAUAUGUAUCUGUAUACAAGAUUGUGAAGAUAUUAUAAGAACGAUACAACUUCAAAAGAUAGUUCAGCUUUAUUA